GGGGAAUAUUGCGCAAUGGGGGAAACCCUGACGCAGCAACGCCGCGUGAAGGAUGAAGGCUUUCGGGUUGUAAACUUCUUUAGUCGGGGACGAAUGGAUGACGGUACCCGAAGAAUAAGCCACGGCUAACUACGUGCCAGCAGCCGCGGUAAUACGUAGGUGGCAAGCGUUGUCCGGAAUUACUGGGUGUAAAGGGCGUGUAGGCGGGUUGUCAAGUCAGAUGUGAAAUUCCGUGGCUCAACUGCGGAGCUGCAUCUGAAACUGAUGAUCUUGAGUACUGGAGAGGGAAGCGGAAUUCCUAGUGUAGCGGUGAAAUGCGUAGAUAUUAGGAGGAACACCAGUGGCGAAGGCGGCUUUCUGGACAGUAACUGACGCUGAGGCGCGAAAGCGUGGGGAGCGAAC
rnacentral:rRNA from 1 species